rnacentral:lncRNA from 1 species
GUUGAAUUGAUUCAUAAGAUCCGUAUCAACCUUCAUCAUGGGUCUCCUGAAUUGAUUCAAAUUUGGUUUAAUACAUAUCAAUAUUUGUAGUACAUCUUGCUUGUCUUUUUGCUAUCUGAAUCGAUUCACACAUUAAGUGAAUCGAUUCAUUUUGUUGUUUUUGGCCGAAAUAUUGCACUUAUCACCCUUUUCUAUACAUACCCACUUCCUCAUAACACCUAAACUACUGAAUCAUUUGCAUCUAUUCCCUCUAGAGUCUCCAACCCUCAUUGUUCACAUUAAACAUUUUUUCUAAGAAUCAGUGUGUUCCUUUGAGUCAUAAAUUGCCAGAGUGCUAUUUAGAUUGGAAGUUGAUUGCUUUCUAGGAUAUUGAUAGGAAAUCAAGGAUCUAAAGUGAAUUGAGUAAUUUCAUUCCACCUCCAAGGGUAUUGGGGGUUCUUUCUAAAGUUUUCGUGUUCAAGGGGAUCCAAUUGUCGGACGGAGCAUCAAAGAGUUCGAGUGAAGAGCUUCAAGGGUUGCACGGAUGAUUGAGGAUUCGAAGACAUUAAGAAGCACCAAUUUCAAAUGUUAUUCGAAGAUUGGGGGAGUGAUUGCAUAGGAAUUGAAGAAUCAGGGUAGUUUCAAGGAAUUCUUGUAAUCACAUUGUAAUCAAACAUUCAUAUUCUAGUGGAAGUCCUUGGUGGAGACGUUUUCCAUCAAGAAUAGACGUAGCUCGAAGCGAGGACGAAAGGUUGAACUACUAUAAAUCUCGGUGUCGUUUCUCUUCCUUAUCCUCUUUAACUUUGAUUGAUUGUGUAUUUGAUUGCUUGAUAAAUUGUUAGAGUAGAAACUGAGUGUGAUCUAGGUUUAUUUUGUUAAACUUGAAUUAGUUUUUUUACCUCACUUGUAAUAGAUCACACUUGGUUUCAAUCUAUUGUCAAUUUAUCACACAUACACAAUUGUGUUCAUUAGUAUAAUUGAUUAAUUGCCAUUAGAUUUCGUUUGAGAUUUGCCUUAUUUUGUAACUUGUGUGAAAUUUAAAAAUAAUAGAUUGUGUUAAGAUUUGACUUUGAAUCUCUCAAUUUCUAGUGAAUCUUAUCAUUUGAACAUAGUCUUAAUAAUUUUUUCAUUGCCGUUUAAUCAAGCAUAAAUCCAAUACGUCAUCAAUUGUUUUCAAAAAUCGCUUUGGCUAUAGACUCGAUAAAUUUUAAAUCACCAUUCACGUCCUCCCUCUAGCGCAUAUUACUUUGCCAUAUAGACAACAAUUACAUCUUUAAUGCAUUAUUUAGACAUCUAAUUUUUUCAUCAUUCGUUACUGUUGUUUGUCUUUUGGGAUUUUCACUUAUCUAUUAUGAAAUGCUAAGAUACAAAAAAAAUAAAAAAAUACAAUGGAGUUUUUUUUUAAAAAAAGAAUAUUUAAAUUUUAUAAUAAUUAAGAUUAAGAUUUUUACCAAGGUUAAGUGAUCAAUUGAAUGAGCUAAAGGGAUACACGCUACGUAUUGGUUAGAGAUAUUAAUUAUAAUUUUAUAAACGACUUCUUGAAACUCCUAAAUGUUAAAAACUAUUUAAUUAAUGUUAGCAAAGAAUGACAUUUUUACUUAUAAAGAGAUAAAUAACUUAUGUUUAUCACCUGGAAUAGAGAAAAAAAAUGGCUCAAAUUCUCAUGUUUUUUUAUUCUUUGAUCAUCUUUAUUUCUCUAUUAACUUCCCACCCAUGCAUUUCUGAUGAUGAUUGUCCAGAGGCGUUAUCUCCUCAAUUUCCAAAGUGCAUUCAUAAUGUUUGUGUGUACUUUGUGGAGGAGUAAGAAUUAAGCUUAAAAAUAGUAAUGUUACCUCCAUGUGUGUAAUUUUAUUUGUAUUUCAAAAUGUUUGUACCUGUAUAAUUUACUUCAACAUUAAUUCAUGUUUUUGUAUCAAUUUAAUUUUUAUAUAAAUAUUCUUAUCUUUGUUGUUCAUUGAAGAUAUCACAAAUAUUAGAGUUAAUGAAUAAUUAUAACAAGAUACCAUCAUUAAUAAAUGUAAUAUAUGAUUAUGUAAAUUAGUUAUUUAUUCUGCUUAAUAGUAAUAGUAGUGGCGUCGAAUAAUCAUGAUUCAGAACAAACCUUGAUAGUCAUGUUCUUCCAUCACGUUGAUCAUCCUUCCAAAGAAGAAGACGAAGUACUGGGGCCAUCCAUCAUCACCACCUCUCCACCAACGCAAAGCAAGAUAGCCUGCACGAAGAUCCGGUCUUGAUGAAUGCUUUUACGAACAAGGUUACGAGUAUCCCAUACCCCAAUCCUUAUAAAGGUAUCAGUGCAUUAAAUUAACAACUUAAAGGAUCAAUUUAAAACUUAAAAAACUUAGAGGAAU